rnacentral:tRNA from 1 species
AUUUUUUUAGUAUAUUUGUACAAUUUCCCUCCAAGAAAAAAGUUUGUUUACUCAAAAAAAAUA